AAAAACGGAAAGCGAAAGCGAAAGCAAAAAAAGGAUGCAGCAGAGGCGAGUGCUAUUUCAGGCCGGAGGGGGCCUCCGUCCAAGAGAAUUGAUCCUCUCUCCCAGAAGAUUUGAGAGAUGGUUCCCCAGCAGUUUGCCCCUCUCCUUAACCCUUAUGAUGACGACGGACAACUCGGCCCACCGAUAUUUAGUAAACAUAAAUAACUGGGACUCCUGAAACAACCAGCAAACCAGGCUGUUUAAUGUGAAUCAGUGGAUGUAAAGAAUCUAGCUAGCUAAAGCAUUUACUGCAAAUUGAAUGUACAUGUUUGGAAGCUUGCCUUGCUGAUAUUUGCCAUGCAAUGCAGAAAGAUGAAGUAACGUAGUUGUGUUCUUGCUUAUUGUGCAGUGGAGGAUACAAAUACCUGUAUUGUAACCUGUACAUUUAAUAUAUUCACUGAUCAUGUACUCUACCUUGGCAAAUAAAGGUGCAGUUCAGGUAUGAA